rnacentral:rRNA from 1 species
CCUACGGGCGGCAGCAGUGGGGAAUAUUGCACAAUGGGGGAAACCCUGAUGCAGCGACGCCGCGUGAGUGAAGAAGUAUCUCGGUAUGUAAAGCUCUAUCAGCAGGGGAGAAAAUGACGGUACCUGACUAAGAAGCCCCGGCUAACUACGUGCCAGCAGCCGCGGUAAUACGGAGGGGGCAAGCGUUAUCCGGAUUUACUGGGUGUAAAGGGAGCGUAGACGGAGCUGCAAGUCCGGAGUGAAAGCCCAGGGCUUAACCAUGGUACUGCCCUGGAAACUGUGGAGCUGGAGUGGGGGAGGGGUAGGCGGAAUGCCUAGUGUAGCGGUGAAAUGCGUAGAUAUUAGGAGGAACACCGGCGGCGAAGGCGGCCUGCUGGCCCGUAACUGACGUUGAGGCUCGAAAGCGUGGGGAGCAAACAGGAUUAGAUACCCGAGUAGUC